rnacentral:rRNA from 1 species
UACGUAGGGGGCUAGCGUUGUCCGGAAUCAUUGGGCGUAAAGCGCGUGUAGGCGGCCCGGUAAGUCCGCUGUGAAAGUCCAGGGCUCAACCCUGGAAUGCCGGUGGAUACUGUCGGGCUAGAGUCCGGAAGGGGCGAGUGGAAUUCCCAGUGUAGCGGUGAAAUGCGUAGAUAUUGGGAGGAACACCAGUGGCGAAGGCGGCUCACUGGACCGGUACUGACGCUGAUGCGCGAAAGCGUGGGGAGCAAACAGG